AGAUCAUGCUGGUUGGCUCAGCAUAUUGCAGAGUAAAAAAACUCCUGGCUGUAGGGAGAAGCUUUGCUGAUUUCUGGAAUUCUCCCUAAGGAUGCAAGAGAAAAUCACUGUCUUCAGUCAAGAAGUGAAGAAAAGAACUAUAAAAUUUCUCCUCAAAACUGACAUGGAACUUUAUUUCCAAGGUGGACACAGAAAAAGCAUAUCUAUAAGAAGAGAAUUUCUUCCUUCAUUUUCAUCCUCCAGCGCUUACUACGGUUUUAGGAAAUAUUCUUUUUCUGCCUAGAUAAAUAUUUUUGUCUGUAUUAAAAUAUAGUUUAUCAGUAACUCUUUAUCUGCUUGGUACUGAAGACUCUCUCUUCCAAGAUGUACAACUGUUACACUAUUACUUGUGACUUUAAAAUGUGGCAUUGCUUACACAGGAAAACAUUAAUAGACCUUUUUUUCAGAUUUUAGUUUGAAAAGAACUUUGUUUAAUCUCUUCAAAACAUGAUCAUGGCAUCUGCACCUGAGGGGCUCACAUAGGGAACAAUGUUGACAUUCUUAUUCUUCUUUAGAAGUACCACACUCCAUAAAUAGUCCCAUCUACUUCCACAACUGCUAAAUAAGAUAUUCUUCAAUGGGUGAUAUGGCAUAGUCAGGCUUUUACUUUUUUAAGACUGCAAAGUGAAGUUUACUCUAUCAGCAUACAUGCAAUGAUAUGCACUGGGUGCAAGAGGGGGCUAUAAACCUCAAUUUAUGCUCAAUUUUAAUGAUAAUAACAACAGUCAAAGAAUUCCAAGUAUCUGGUUUAUCACAUUUUACAACUGAACUCAUUUUUUGUUCCUCUUCCCCCCCCCCACCUUCACUCAUACCUAAAGUUUCAAAAAGUCUCUAAACUCAGAAUUGUUACUAUCUUUGUGACUGUGGCAAAACCAUCCUUUUCAAAUAUACAUUUUAAGUAAUGGUGGUGUUUAACUUGAAUUCAGACUACUGGUUUUACUAUACUUGUUCGUCAUCUCUGACGCUUGAAAGCUGCACAACUCAAAGAUAGGUAAUUAAUCUAAUCACCACUGAAAUAAAUCAUUUUCAAACAUAUACUGUCCAAGCAGAAGAGAUGAAAAGAUAUUUAUAAUUAGCAACAGAGACAAUUACUACUUUGUUCCCACUGUGAAUAGUUACAAGGAAGAGAAAAACUGAAUGGUGUGUCCAACUACUAUUGUUUAGAGUUGCUCCUUCCUUGUUAAAAAUGUUAAACGUACUUCUACAAUAACAAUGAGUAAUAUUCUUCUCUUGUUGGGCCAUCGAAUUUUGCACUCAGCUACCACAUAAUAAAUUCAUAAUAGCUCCAUUUACUUUGAAGUUCCUCUGCAUAUAUGUUGAGCAGAAUCUGGCACAUUGUGCAAACUUCUCAUUUAGCAUUAAAAGAAGCAGGAAAUAGCCUGAGAAGGGUAUGUCCCUAGAUUUGUUAUUUUACAUGCUUUGUAGGGUUUGGUGUUGAAAGUCAAAAUCUAGGAAGAAUACUUACCUCAUGUUUCAAAUAGGGGAAGGAAGAAUCAGCAUCCUGUUGCUGUGUGCCUGGUUCCUAGGCAACAGCUCCUCACUAGAAACAAAGUGUUCUUCUGUUUCUGUGACCCCACUUUCUAUUAUGCAAACUAAAAUGAGUUCAGCACAAGCAAUUCACUUUCAAUAAGAGAGAAAAAAAAAGUGGGAGAAACAAAAUAUUGCUUUGAUUCUUUAAUCAAAGAAGAGUAAGAGUUAAUACUAAUACUCUGCCACCUAGUGAUGUGACAUUGACUCUUCUUUCCUACCCCAAAAACCAAAAUGCACCAUAUAGGGUCAGCUUCCUAGCAUUGUUUUCUGGGUGUUGACUUGAUGGGACAGUGGGGGCAGGGGCAGUGAGGAGAGUCAAACUAUGGAUUUGACCCGAUCUACUUCACCUCUUCAUCAAAUAUAUACAGCAUGUAUUUACACCUAUUUCUAACUGAGUUUAGAGAGGUUAAUCAAGUUAAAACAGCAGUGUCAGUUUAGGAAUCUUAGAGAAGAGGGCCAAGUCUUCUGCUCCUGGAAAUCAACAUUGUUCUAUUAACCAAGAUCUAACCUGAAAAUGUGGGGUCCCCUGAACAACAUUAGAGAAGGGAAAUAAUCUAAAUUAUACUGCUGCUAUACAUCCUCUUUUACAAAUUUACUAGUUAGAUAAACUAUGCCUUAUUGUAUCAAGUCAGAAUUACAAACCUAUUUGAGUGUGCAUGCUAUAACUGGACAUGCAGUUUUACUAGCGUACACUUUAAUGUUUUCAACCGGUAGAAGCCAAACAUGAAGGUAAUUUCAAUAGCAGGUGAAGUUGCUUUAACACUUCCCAUACUGCAUUUUGCAGGACUAUACCCUAAAAAUACUUUGCACCUAAAGGAAAUCACAAGAAUUAGUAACCUGGCCUGGGUUAUGGACAUUUAAACAUGCAGU